rnacentral:misc_RNA from 1 species
GCGCCGCGACCUCGUCCAGCGCUCCCUUCUCAAGCAUGCUUUCGAAGCGCGCAUUGAUCCGCGCAUAAAGCUCCUUGCGGUCGGGCGCGAGAAAGAUCGCCUUCACGCCGCCCGGUUCGAGCAGCGGCGGUAGACCUUCGCUAUGCCAGUCCGGCAAUGCGCGCCCUGUCGCCUCGAUCACCUCGAGCGCACGCGCGAUGCGUGCACUGUCGCGGGGCUUGAGUUUUGCGCCGGACACCGGAUCAUGGCGCG